rnacentral:sRNA from 1 species
AUCCCUCACUGCUAAGCUAUCCCUCGCUGCUAAUCUAUCGCUGCCAACCUAUCUAUCGCUGCCAAUCUAUUGCUGCUAAUCUAUCGCUGCUGCCAAUCUAUCUAUCACUGCCAAUCUAUCCAUCGCUGCCAAUCUAUCUAUCACUGCUAAUCUAUUGCUGCUAAUCUAUCACUGCUAAUCUAUCGCUGCUAAUCUAUCACUGCCAACCUAUCUACCGCGGCGAAUCUAUCUAUUGCUGCCAACCAACCUACCUACCACUGCCAACCUACCUACCACUGCCAAUCUAUCUAUUGCUCAGCAGCUAAUCUAUCGCUGCUGCCAACCUAUCUAUCGCUGCCAAUCUAUUGCUGCUAAUCUAUCGCUGCUAAUCUAUCGCUGCUGCCAAUCUAUCUAUCACUGCUAAUCUAUUGCUGCUAAUCUAUCACUGCUACUCUAUCGCUGCUAAUCUAUCGCUGCCAAUCUAUCGCUGCCAAUCUAUCUACUGCAGUGAAUCUAUCUAUCACUAUCAUUACUAGUUCAAAAUAGAACUAGAGCAUAAAUACACUAAACUUCUUUUGAUAGA